UGAUGAAGUACGUACAAGGAUAUCUUUGAGAAUGUCAAAGCUAAUACUUGACGGUUUACACCUCCUGUCGAGUCUACUCCUUUUAGGGGUAAAAUCGAUAGGGGCGGGGGAGGCUUCAUGCAUCCUCUACAUAUUACCACCAUUUUUUGAAUAAGGGUGGAUAUAUGCCAAGAGAAUUGUAGAAAUUGAAAGAUUUUCACAAGUCAUCAUUAAGAAUAUCUGACCUAUCAACCGGUUGUUGGUAAGGUAGGGGCUUACCAAGGUAAUAACGGGUAACGAGGAAUAAGGGUUCGACAUCGGAGAGGGAGCUUUAGAAAUGGCUACCACUUCUAAGGAAGGCAGCAGGCGCGAAAAUUACCCAAUCUUAACAAAUGAAGGAGGUAGUGACGACAAUUAACGCUAUCUCUCGUCUUUUGGCGA
rnacentral:rRNA from 1 species